rnacentral:rRNA from 1 species
UACGAAGGGGGCUAGCGUUGCUCGGAAUCACUGGGCGUAAAGGGUGCGUAGGCGGGUCUUUAAGUCAGGGGGGAAAUCCUGGAGCUCAACUCCAGAACUGCCUUUGAUACUGAAGAUCUUGAGUUCGGGAGAGGUGAGUGGAAUUGCGAGUGUAGAGGUGAAAUUCGUAGAUAUUCGCAAGAACACCAGUGGCGAAGGCGGCUCACUGGCCCGAUACUGACGCUGAGGCACGAAAGCGUGGGGAGCAAACAGG